rnacentral:lncRNA from 1 species
CGGAGGCGGGUUCUGGACAGACCUACGCUGUCGGGGAGUGUUUACUUCGCCUCCACUUCUGUUCCUCCCCGCCCUGGUGCUGCUCCAGGUCACAUACUCUUCCUGAGCCGGCUUCAGCCUCUCCGCGCAGAAGUCUCCCGGAGCCAUGGCCUAGUAUUCUUAUGUGAAGUCUACCAAGCUUGUGCUCAAGGGAACCGAGAUUUGCCUGAGGUUGACUGUACAUGCAAAUAUUGAGCUUUCCUCCUGGCCUCCGUGAUAAACAGAAGUUUUGAUAUUGUUAGGCGAGAUGGAAAGAAAGUAUCAAGGAGUGAGCUGAAGCCACUGCCCUUGAGAACCCUCUCGAGGAGUCUGGCCUCAUGAAGAUGCCA